rnacentral:rRNA from 1 species
AUACGAUGAAGAGUUUGAUCCUGGCUCAGGAUGAACGCUAGCGGCAGGCUUAACACAUGCAAGUCGAGGGGUAUAGUUCUUCGGAACUAG